GUGGAACUGCGUCGUUUUAAUAUCCAAUAUAUCCCAGCGACAGCCGCAAGCCAAUGGCGGAGCCGUCGUCCGCAGCUCGUGCUUGCGCCAUGGAAGCAAUUAGUACUCAUCGCUGCACUCUCAGUGCAGUAGCUUGCGGUGGAUAUGUAAGCAACGCAAUUGCACUAGCGAGAGUAGCUCUCUCGGCCUAAGCGAGCUUCUUGCGUGGCGCCACGAUCGGCUUAUUUUUCCCGUCAUCGAUCACCAGGAGACUUCAAUUUUGUGCACAGAUAAUGGAAUGACGCUAUUGUUGUUUGUAGUUCGUCGGAGGGUUCGAGUUGCCUAAUAGUGUCCGUAAUGCAGAGGACAUUGUGGCAGAUGUUGAUUAUGUUGAAUUACAGCCUGAGGAUUGUCAAUUGCUUUGUCAUUCUGAUGGACUAGAUAAACUUCAUUGUAACCGACAUUGCUGCCUCACCAAUCGCUUUCCGACAACCUGUUAUUAUGAAUGAUUCACACAGGUUUGUAUGUCAUCUCUGAAAUUGCAUUGACGUUAAGCUCUAUUUUUAUUAUUUUUGUUCAUUAGAUUUCAUUUUUUUUAUUAUUGAGAUUUAAUAGACAUUUUUCUUGACUGAAUGCUCUUACCACAACAUCUCCAUUUGUUUCAUUCAAAGGCAUUUUGUGAAGUUCAGGAUAUGAUCAGUUCCUAUCACAGAUGCAUUAUACAUGCAUUCCUAUCACAAGAUUUCUUCAACUGGGACUGGGUUAAGUUACGUUACUGUGAUGGAGCAUCUUUCAGUGGGGAUAGUUGAAAUGAUGCUGUAAAUUUUCGAGGACAGUGUAUCUGGUUAGCUGCUAAAGAACAUUUCAUGGCCAAGGGAAUGCAAAAUGCUGCACAGGUUUAAUAUGCAUUUAAAAUUCAUUUUUCUUUCUUAUUUUCUAUUUUCUAUUUUAUUUUUUUGCUUAGCCUUGAAUUUAUGAUAGUUUUAUGCAUCCAUCUACUGAGGAUCUUCUUUCUGGAUGCUCUGCUGGGGAUUUAGCAUACAUGCUUCAUUGUGAUGAGUUUCGGGACUUAUUUCCAAACACAACUAAAGUCAAAUGCCUAAGUGAUGGUGGAAUGUUCCUUGAUGCGUAAUUCUCUUAAAUUAUGAUAUCCAUUGGGAUUCAAUUCUUUAUCUGUAAGCACAUUCCAAACUAAUGAUCUUCAUUUAUUCAAUUGAGUUGAUCUCUCUGGUGGGCACAGCCUAAGGAAUAUGUAUGCCAGCAUUGUUAGCUUACAGGUACCAUAGAAAAUUUUUUUACUUUCCAUGAUGGAAAAUUCAAUUUAACUAUGACAUGAAGUUCUGUAUUUGACCUUUUUUCUGGAAUAUUAAGAAGUGCAAAAGAAUCUGCCUAGAACUUGUACCAGAAAGCUAGAUCAAACUUUGGUAAACAUCGCUCUUUUUUUUAUUAUUAACUUCAUUUCUCACUGUUUUAGAUCUUUCUAAUUCAUAGCCUUACUUGCUUACAA